rnacentral:rRNA from 1 species
CCCUUAUAUGUUCUGGGCCGCACGCGCGCUACACUGAUGCAUUCAACGAGCCUAUCCUUGACCGACAGGUCCGGGUAAUCUUUGAAUCUGCAUCGUGACGGGGAUAGAUUAUUGCAAUUAUUAAUCUUCAACGAGGAAUGCCUAGUAGGCGCAAGUCAUCAGCUUGCGUCGAUUACGUCCCUGCCCUUUGUACACACCGCCCGUCGCUCCUACCGAUUGGGUGUGCUGGUGAAAUGUUCGGAUCGGCCGUUUGUCGCGGUUUCCGCGGCUCGUGGCUGAGAAGUUCAUUAAACCCUCCCACCUAGAGGAAGGAGAAGUCGUAACA